rnacentral:rRNA from 1 species
AGCGGCGGACGGGUGAGUAACGCGUGGGUAACCUGCCCUAUACACACGGAUAACAUACCGAAAGGUAUGCUAAUACGAGAUAAUAUAAGAGAUUCACAUGGAUUUCUUAUCAAAGCUGAGGCGGUAUAGGAUGGACCCGCGUCUGAUUAGCUAGUUGGUAAGGUAACGGCUUACCAGGGCGACGAUCAGUAGCCGACCUGAGAGGGUGAUCGGCCACAUUGGAACUGAGACACGGUCCAAACUCCUACGGGAGGCAGCAGUGGGGAAUAUUGCACAAUGGGCGAAAGCCUGAUGCAGCAACGCCGCGUGAGUGAUGAAGGCCUUCGGGUCGUAAAACUCUGUCCUCAAGGAAGAUAAUGACGGUACUUGAGGAGGAAGCCCCGGCUAACUACGUGCCAGCAGCCGCGGUAAUACGUAGGGGGCUAGCGUUAUCUGGAAUUACUGGGCGUAAAGGGUGCGUAGGUGGUUUCUUAAGUCAGAGGUGAAAGGCUACGGCUCAACCGUAGUAAGCCUUUGAAACUGGGAAACUUGAGUGCAGGAGAGGAGAGUGGAAUUCCUAGUGUAGCGGUGAAAUGCGUAGAUAUUAGGAGGAACACCAGUUGCGAAGGCGGCUCUCUGGACUGUAACUGACACUGAGGCACGAAAGCGUGGGGAGCAAACAGGAUUAGAUACCCUGGUAGUCCACGCCGUAAACGAUGAGUACUAGCUGU